UACGUAGGGUGCAAGCGUUAAUCGGAAUUACUGGGCGUAAAGCGUGCGCAGGCGGUUCGUUGUGUCGGUGGUGAAAGCCCCGGGCUUAACCUGGGAAUGGCCAUGGAAACUGGCGAACUGGAGUGUGGCAGAGGGGGGUGGAAUUCCGCGUGUAGCAGUGAAAUGCGUAGAGAUGCGGAGGAACACCGAUGGCGAAGGCAGCCCCCUGGGCUGACACUGACGCUCAUGCACGAAAGCGUGGGGAGCAAACAGG
rnacentral:rRNA from 1 species